GAUGAAGAACGCAGCGAAAUGCGAUACGUAAUGUGAAUUGCAGAAUUCAGUGAAUCAUCGAAUCUUUGAACGCAUAUUGCGCUCUCUGGUAUUCCGGAGAGCAUGCUUGUUUGAGUAUCAGUAAACACCUCAACUUCCAUAUCUUUUUUGAAAUGGGAGUUGGACUUGAGUGAUCCCAACGCUUUUCCUCACCGAAAAGUGGCGGGUUACUUGAAAUGCAGGUGCAGCUGGACUUUUCUCUGAGCUAUAAGCAUAUCUAUUUAGUCUGCCUAAAAAACAGAUUAUUACCUUUGCUGCAGCUAACAUAAAGGAGAUGAGUUCUUGUGCUGACUGAUGCAGGAUUCACAGAGACAGCUUUGCGGCUGACUUUGUAAACUCGAUCUCAAAUCAAGUAAGACUACCCGCUGAACUUAAGCAUAUCAAUAAGCGGAGGA
rnacentral:misc_RNA from 1 species